rnacentral:tRNA from 1 species
UGCUGAGGUAGUCUAGCGGUAGGGCGCAGGCCUGGAAAGCCUGUGGUGCGAAAGUGCCUCGGGGGUUCAAUUCCCCCCCUCAGCGUCC